UACGGGGGGGGCAAGCGUUGUUCGGAAUUACUGGGCGUAAAGGGCGCGUAGGCGGCGCAACAAGUCACUUGUGAAAUCUCCGGGCUUAACCCGGAGCGGCCAAGUGAUACUGUCGUGCUAGAGUGCGGAAGGGGCUACUGGAAUUCUCGGUGUAGCGGUGAAAUGCGUAGAUAUCGAGAGGAACACCUGCGGCGAAGGCGGGUAGCUGGGCCGACACUGACGCUGAAGCGCGAAAGCCAGGGGAGCGAACGGG
rnacentral:rRNA from 1 species